rnacentral:rRNA from 2 species
GUGGUUCAUGACUGGGGUGAAGUCGUAACAAGGUAGCGCUAGGGGAACCUGGCGCUGGAUCACCUCCUUAUACGAUGAU